rnacentral:rRNA from 1 species
CAGUCGCCGCGGGAAAACGGAGGGUGCAAGCGUUAAUCGGAAUUACUGGGCGUAAAGGGCUCGCAGGCGGUUUCUUAAGUCUGAUGUGAAAGCCCCCGGCUCAACCGGGGAGGGUCAUUGGAAACUGGGAAACUUGAGUGCAGAAGAGGAGAGUGGAAUUCCACGUGUAGCGGUGAAAUGCGUAGAGAUGUGGAGGAACACCAGUGGCGAAGGCAACUCUCUGGUCUGUAACUGACGCUGAGGAGCGAAAGCGUGGGGAGCGAACAGGAUUAGAUACCCGUGUAGUCCCUGUCUCUUAUAC